AUUGAACGCUGGCGGCAGGCCUAACACAUGCAAGUCGAGCGGAUGAAGGGAGCUUGCUCCUGGAUUCAGCGGCGGACGGGUGAGUAAUGCCUAGGAAUCUGCCUGGUAGUGGGGGAUAACGUCCGGAAACGGGCGCUAAUACCGCAUACGUUCUGAGGGAGAAAGUGGGGGAUCUUCGGACCUCACGCUAUCAGAUGAGCCUAGGUCGGAUUAGCUAGUUGGUGGGGUAAAGGCCUACCAAGGCGACGAUCCGUAACUGGUCUGAGAGGAUGAUCAGUCGCACUGGAACUGAGACACGGUCCAGACUCCUACGGGAGGCAGCAGUGGGGAAUAUUGGACAAUGGGCGAAAGCCUGAUCCAGCCAUGCCGCGUGUGUGAAGAAGGUCUUCGGAUUGUAAAGCACUUUAAGUUGGGAGGAAGGGCAGUAAGUUAAUACCUUGCUGUUUUGACGUUACCAACAGAAUAAGCACCGGCUAACUUCGUG
rnacentral:rRNA from 1 species